rnacentral:misc_RNA from 1 species
UAGGUUCUAAAGGGAAACGUGUUCCGUUAAACUGGACCAAGAGAGCAGCCAUAUGUUUAGGUACAGCAUCCGGUCUAGCAUUUCUUCACGAGGAAGCAGAACCACCAAUUGUUCAUCGGGAUAUUAAGGCUAGUAACGUCCUUAUUGAUGAAAAUCUUCAUCCUAAAAUUGGAGAUUUUGGACUCGCCAAGCUUUUCCCUGAUAAUAUCACUCAUGUUAGUACUCGAGUGGCUGGAACAAUAGGA